rnacentral:rRNA from 1 species
GUUGUAUGGUUAAGUGACUAAGCGUACAUGGUGGAUGCCUUGGCAGUCAGAGGCGAUGAAGGACGUACUAACCUGCGAUAAGCUGUGAGAAGUCGGUAAGAGACGCUAUUACUCACAGAUUUCCGAAUGGGGAAACCCACCCGAGAUAACUCGGGUAUCUGUUACUGAAUACAUAGGUAACAGAGGCGAACCGGGAGAACUGAAACAUCUAAGUACCCCGAGGAAAAGAAAUCAACCGAGAUUCCCUCAGUAGCGGCGAGCGAACGGGGAUUAGCCCUUAAGCAUCUUGGAAGUUAGUGGAACGGUCCUGGAAAGGCCGGCGAUACAGGGUGAUAGCCCCGUACACGAAAAC